rnacentral:rRNA from 1 species
AUUGAACGCUGGCGGCAUGCCUUACACAUGCAAGUCGAGCGCCCCGCAAGGGGAGCGGCAGACGGGUGAGUAACGCGUGGGAAUCUACCCAUCCCUACGGAAUAGCUCCGGGAAACUGGAAUUAAUACCGUAUACGCCCUACGGGGGAAAGAUUUAUCGGGGAUGGAUGAGCCCGCGUUGGAUUAGCUAGUUGGUGGGGUAAAGGCCUACCAAGGCGACGAUCCAUAGCUGGUCUGAGAGGAUGAUCAGCCACAUUGGGACUGAGACACGGCCCAAACUCCUACGGGAGGCAGCAGUGGGGAAUAUUGGACAAUGGGGGCAACCCUGAUCCAGCCAUGCCGCGUGAGUGAUGAAGGCCUUAGGGUUGUAAAGCUCUUUCACCGGGGAAGAUAAUGGCGGUACCCGGAGAAGAAGCCCCGGCUAACUUCGUGCCAGCCGCCGCCGUAA